rnacentral:rRNA from 1 species
AACGAACGCUGGCGGCAGGCCUAAUACAUGCAAGUCGAGCGCUCUCUUCGGAGGGAGCGGCGGACGGGUGAGUAACGCGUGGGAAUAUGCCCUUCACUAAGGAAUAGCCAUUGGAAACGAUGAGUAAUACCUUAUACGCCCUUCGGGGAAAGAUUUAUCGGUGAAGGAUUAGCCCGCGUUAGAUUAGGUAGUUGGUGGGGUAACGGCCUACCAAGCCUACGAUCUAUAGCUGGUUUGAGAGGAUGAUCAGCCACACUGGGACUGAGACACGGCCCAGACUCCUACGGGAGGCAGCAGUAGGGAAUCUUAGACAAUGGGCGCAAGCCUGAUCUAGCCAUGCCGCGUGUGUGAUGAAGGCCCUAGGGUCGUAAAGCACUUUCGCCUGUGAUGAUAAUGACAGUAGCAGGUAAAGAAACCCCGGCUAACUCCGUGCCAGCAGCCGCGGUAAU